GUGCCCAGCUCAGGCCGGCUGACCGUGGUGGUGCUGGAGGCUCGAGGCCUGCGUCCAGGACUUGCAGAAUGUGGACCUGGUGCUGGCUGUCUGGGACCGCAGCCUGCCGCUCCGAACUGAGCCCGUAGGCAAGGUGCACCUGGGUGCCCGGGCCUCGGGGCAGCCCCUGCAGCACUGGGCAGACAUGCUGGCCCACGCCCGGCGGCCCAUUGCCCAGCGGCACCCCCUGCGGCCAGCCAGGGAGGUGGACCGCAUGCUGGCCCUGCAGCCCCGCCUUCGCCUGCGCCUGCCCUUGCCCCACUCCUGAAUGCACCACAUGCCUCUGUCUCCCCGCUGAGCCCAGGCACUUGCCCAGGCCGCCCUGCAGGACCACUGCAAUAAACGCCUUCUCCUGCC
rnacentral:lncRNA from 1 species